GUUAGGGACUGUGUGGGGUGUAGCAGAAAGGAUGCAGACUACUGGCUCUCAGAGGAUUGCUACCUGGUGAGAGUGGACACACAAGAGAGCCUGAGAGCUUUAACUGAGAGUUGAAGUUAUUCUGGAGGAGGAAGAAGGUGGUGUGACCAACCCAUGAGGGUUUGCAUCGGGGGACAAAUGUUGAGUGCAGCAUUUGAAUGGCACGCCGUCUUCUCCAGACAGGCAAGAAGAAAGAGGGCUUUGUAGCUAGAGGAAGAGCAUGCGCAAUGGCAAGGGAGACGCAAAGGCUCAGUGUUUGCCCAGAGUGAGCUGCUUUUGGAGGUUGUGGUCAUGAAUUAAAAUGGAUAUCCAACUGUUCCAUGAGGCAACGAAUGGGGAUUUUACAUAUUAAAUCAGCAUUGUCUGCUGGAGCUCUCUGCUACCUGGGAAGGCUCUGCAUUUGGGCUGUCAAAGCCACAAGCUCAGACAAUGAAGAUGGCAAACUGAAGUCUUCCUCUAUAGGCACAACUUUGCAUCAGACAUUUGAUGGGAGAGGUCCAUCUUUGAAGGGAAGUUUUAUUUAAGUCUGUCCCUGGAUCCACAUCAUCCGUACGUCUGUCUACAGGGCAAAAAACUUCAUCUUUCAUGAGUGCAAUUUCAAACUUGGUGCCAACGAGAGACAUCUUCCCUGGACUCAAAUGCGCGAAGCCUGAACAGGACAUCUUGAGUGUUAGCUUCUCUGGGAUGGCUGCGGUGUGCAGCACAUUUUUGUUAAGGUGUUAUUCAAAGUUUCUGAUUAACAUAAGUUUUUCUUAAAAUUAUACAAAAACAUAAUACCAUGAUUAUGGAAAUAAAAAGCCACCCACAAGCUUACUAUCUUUACAAACCA
rnacentral:lncRNA from 1 species